GAGGAAAAGGGAUUUUUAGUCGGUUUC
rnacentral:sRNA from 1 species